GGCUGUAGGGCGGUGCUGCAGCCCCGGGGGUCUGUCUGGAAUGCCGAGCUGUCUCCGCAGGCCCGGAGCUCCGCGCGGAUCGCCUAGAGACGACGCCUCCGCCAGGCCCGGCUCGAGGCCGCCCCCGCGCCCAGGCGCACUUGGCCGCCCGGUGCCCACGGCGCGCUGGGCCUCAGACCAUGCCGGUGUCUGACCAAGCGUUUGUCACGCUGGCUACCAAUGACGUCUACUGCCAGGGGGCCCUGGUGCUGGGGCAAUCAUUGCGGGACCACAGGGCCACCAGGAGGCUGGUGGUGCUGGUCACCCCUCAGGUGUCCAACCUGCUCAGGGUGAUCCUCUCGAGGGUGUUUGAUGAGGUCAUCGAGGUGAACCUGAUAGACAGUGUAGACUACAUCCACCUGGCCUUUCUGAAGAGACCUGAGCUCGGAGUCACCCUCACCAAGCUUCACUGUUGGACACUCACCCAUUAUAGCAAGUGCGUCUUCCUGGAUGCAGAUACCCUGGUGCUGUCCAAUAUCGAUGAGCUGUUCAGUAGGAGAGAGCUCUCUGCGGCCCCGGAUCCCGGAUGGCCGGAUUGCUUCAAUAGCGGGGUGUUUGUCUUCCAACCUUCCCUGGAGACGCAUGGCCACUUGCUGCGGCAUGCCACGGACCACGGCAGCUUUGACGGGGCAGACCAAGGCUUGUUGAACAGUUUCUUCAGCAACUGGUCCACAGCAGACAUCCAGAAACACUUGCCAUUCAUUUAUAACUUGAGUAGCAACACGGCCUACACCUACAGCCCUGCUUUCAAACAAUUCGGCUCGAGCGCGAAGGUGGUCCACUUUUUGGGGUCCACGAAGCCUUGGAACUACAAGUACAAUCCCCAGACGGGCUCCGUCUUGGAGGAGGGCUCUGGGUCUGUCAGCCAGCAUCAGACGUCCUUCCUUAACCUCUGGUGGGGGAUUUACCACCGCAGCAUUCUGCCUCUUUAUGAAAAUAUCCUGCACGAGGACGAACAGACAUCUCCAGGACACACAGCUCACCUCGGGGGCGCUGGGGUGCCUUGUUCAAGUUCAGCGCCCACUGCUGAGGGGUCGUGUGCAAAUGCUGUGCCCCGCUCCGGGGAGCCCUGUACCAAUUGGGCGGAGGGGCCCCGCCAGCCUUGGCCUGAGAGCACCAUGGUGGUGGUGGAGGAGACCCCCGCUUCGCCUGACGCAUGCCCUGUGGAAGAUAUGAUAGGUUGGCCGGAAAUGGAGACUUCCGCUGGAGUGAUGUGUGACCCGUUGUCACCACCCUCCACCCAAUUCGCAGACUUCACAGGGACCCAAACCAACUCGCAGCCCGUGGAGAGCGCGGAAGGUGGCCCACCUGAGGAAGCCUUGGAGCCACGCCGGGAGCCCCCUGUGGAUGUCACCAGGGACCCCAGUCUCCAGGAUGCUUUGGAGGUGGACCUGGCCAUCUCCGUCUCUGAGAUUUCCAUCGAAGAAAAGGCACUGAGUCCCGAUGAGGAGCGGAGGAAGUGGGAGGAGGGACGCAUCGACUACCUGGGGAAGGAUGCGUUUGUCCGGAUUCAGGAGAAGCUGGACCGCUUCCUGCAGUGAUGGCACCAUGGCGUUGGGUGGCCCUGUUCCAUGAACGUCUCGAAUCCUUUCCAAGGGAAAGACUCUUCCACGAUGUGCCUCUCUUUAUGGUUGACCAGCUUGCGUGCCUCAUGUCAGUCACGUGGUCCAUCCAAAACCCAGCUCAAAGGCCUGUGUGACCCCAGCUACCCAUGCCUCCUGGGGGUUCCCCAGGAGGUUGCAUCUCCUUUACACCUUGUUGGCAAAAGGGAACAGGAAUAACCUUCUGGUCAACCCUGGGUCUCUGGUCUUGCUUGAAGGAGCUCAGGAUUCUGUCCUGGGCAGGUCCUGCCGUGUCCGUCCUACGUAGGGUUAGAUGUCACUGCAGAGUUUCUGUCCCAGUGCCCGUAACACGAGGAGAGGUAUUGAGUGCCCUGGGAACCUUUAUUCAGUGCCUUGAGACUUUGCAGAAUGAAAAGUCCUUCCUGUGAAGAUGCAGCAAACGUUCGGAUGCCUUGAGUGUGACUCCAGUGUGGACUUUCCCAAGCAUGGCUGAGAAACACCACAGCUGUGGUUCCUCUUCAGCAAAAAUACCCAAGAGGACUUGCAAGUGCAUUGACAGGUGCCCCAUGGAGAUGUGUCAGAGAUAUUUGGAAGGAAGAUUCCAGCUGGCUUGGGAGAGGUGACCGCUUCCAAACUGGUUGACCUACUGGUGUAGAAGAACCCAGGGUUUACGCUGAGGGGUGUCUGGUGGCCGUGCGCUCACGGUAGCUGGAUUUGGUCGAGGCUGUUUCGAGGCAAACCUGUAUGCGGCCCAGGACACCAGGCUGCCCUGUGCUGGGUCACACUACCUCACUUCACAGUAUGGAGUCACUGUGCUCUCCAAGCCGUGCCAACUCGGUUCUUUCGGGACAGUUCUCCGUUUGAUGACACUAGACGCUUUAUCCCAUGAGAAAGCCUCCCCUCCAAAAGCAUCCGGAAAUGAAUGCGAUGAGUACAGAGAGAAGACAGACAGAGUCGUAGGGAGGGGACUCAGGCCAGAGAGCGGUAAAUAGACACCAGAAAUGAGAAGAUUGCCAAGAGUGCCGGAUGCCUGGAAGAAAAUACAAGCGGUCCAGGUGAUGGAAGGCGGACGUGGAGACAACUGGACAUGUCCAGAGAAUGGUUUUGAGGCAUAAAGAAAAAGGAGUGAGUUGAAUUGCAAGAGGGCUAUAGGCCUUCCCAAACCCUGGAAGAAAACCAAGUCCUUAAGGCAAAUCCACAAAAAAGGGAGAAAAUGUCAGGGCAAAAUGCAGAAUAAUAGAGAGGGAAACAGAAAUGAAGAAAAGAGAAGAAACUCAAAUAGCUGAAAGUCUGUUACCACAGACCAAGGCAGAGGCAGAACUCAAGCAGUUAGAAAAUUUAAAAAUAUAGUUGUUUAGUAAAUCCAAGAGCUGGAUUUAAAAAGAUUCAUAGAAACAGAAAACCUCAAGCAACUCCAGUCAGACGAUGAUGGAGAAUCCAGCUAUAAAUAUGGAAGCAAUUAAAAUACAAUGAAAUGACUUGGUAAGGGAGCAAAGUGCUUGGUAAAACGAAUAGCUUUUCAAUAAGAAGUGCGGAGACAUAACAUGCCUCAGUUUGGGAACACUUGAUAUUGUAAAGAUACCACUUUCCCCCCCAAAAUCAUUUAUACGUUGAAGACAAUGGAUAUUGAUAUUCCUGUGGGAUUAAAAAAAAAUAGUUGCAAAUGAUUUUACAAUUCUUUUGAAAGGACUGUUGGGCCACAACAGCCCAGAAAAGUUUGAGGUGCAAAAAUUAUUCACUAAACAUGUUACUGCUUGUUUUACAAAGUUAUCGUUAAUCUAACAGGUAUGAGAUGGUGUCAUGAAGUUAAGACACGUGGAAAGCAAAUAUAGAUUAAGAGGACAGACUGGAAAGGUUAGAAUCAGGUUGGAACACCUGUGUGUGUACAAGUGUGUGUGUGUGAUGAUAAAAGUUGCACCUCACCUCAUGGGGCUGGGGGACGGGAAAGCCAUAGACCAGAGAAUUCCCUUCCGAUCACCACGGGAUGAUCGACAGUGAAAGGACGUUGCCGGCAUCAGAAGAAAAAUACCGCCAAGAAGGAAAUAAAGGAGCUCGCGUGGACAUGCAAAGGCCACAAAGAAGCAGAAAAUGCGAACGGAGGCCAAGACAUGACUCCUUCAGGCAGGCUACUCACUGUUCCGUUGGUGCCACCGGGCUGCGUGCAGGAAGCUCUCGCAGUAAUGCAUCAGGAACUCGUGCUCCGAGUGCUGGGCUGUCCCCAGGAGCAAGGGCAGCAGGUCCCGGCCGUCAAUCACCCUACAGGCAGGAGCACAGGGACUCAGGGCGGGGCUGCUGGAAGGUGGGCGUGGCCUUAACAAGCCCAGGGCCGCCCCGGGGCAGUCAGCACCCCAGCCGCCUGCACACAGCGCCUUCGGCUAAAAGAUGUUGGAGGGUCCAGCUUGCUUGGCUGAAGUAAUGGUCCCCCCAGCCUUAUUCUGAAGCACAAAUAGCUAAACAAAAUGGAAACACCUGCUUGGUUCUGUAUGGAUUUGAGCUUUAAGUCGUUAUAGAACAUGCGGCAUUCUUCAACAAGACCUGGAAUCAUUUCAUAAGAAGAAAAACUGGAAUCGGGCUUCCCUGGUGGUGCAGUGGUUAAGAAUCCCCCUGCCAGUGCAGGGGCCACGGGUUCGAGCCCUGGUCCAGGAAGAUCCCACAUGCCGUGGAGCAACUAAGCCCACGAGCCACAACUACUGAGCCCGCGAGCCACAACUGCUGAGCCCACGUGCCUAGAGCCCGUGCUCCGCGACAAGAGAAGCCACCGCAAUGAGAAGCCCGCGCACCGCAAUGAAGAGUAGCCCCCGCCGGCCACAACUAGAGAAAGACCGCGUGCAGCAACGAAGACCCAACACAGCCAAAAAUAAAUAAAUAAAAUAAUAAAUAAAUUAAAAAAAUAAGAAAAACUGGGAUCAUGAAAAGUCCCUACCACACUACAUCAAAAGGAAUCUCUUGUGAUGAAUCGUUAGUAAAUUCAUUGAUGCGUUUCAGUGACAAUCGUCCUUAUUAUCAAAUGGCUUCACUUAAGACUGAGAAGAGAAGGACAUUUUGUGCAUAAAAUGAAGCAGACGUUGGAUCCCAGCAGAGAAUGAUGAGCGUUCUUCCAGAUACUGAUCUCACGGAUGUUUUAUGCCAAACAAAAGUGACAGUGAUGUUUGACAUACAUGUUGGCUCUACACAAAACGCAACUACCUUCUUUGGGCUGCUCUGUACCUGUCAUGGGGCACCUGGCCACCCCCCAGCUGGACCACGGUGGGGAAGACAUCCAUCAGGCUGGUGGGCUCGUGGAUCAGGCGGCCAGCGGGCAGCACCCCGGGCCACCGGAGUAUCCCUGGGACCCGGAUCCCACCUUCCCAGCCGCCCAUGCCUUUGCCACCUGUGUUUAAACAUGAACAGGAAAGAAUGUGAUUGAAAAUCCAAAGUGGUCGCUUACCUGGGUGAUUUAACCUUUCCAUCUGUUUUAAAUCUCUCUCUCUCUCCCUCCCUCUUUAAUUACAUGAUGACAUUUAGUUCCUCCCUGGCAGAGCAUAGAUUUUGCUUUAUUUAUUAUUCUGGGUGUUGGUUUUCCACCACACAGGGGUCAGGACAUGGAUACCUUUGGGGACAUUAUUCUGUUGACCACAACGAUCAUUUGGGUUCCUUUGGUUUUUGUGACUUUGCUUUGUAAACUCCCAUUCCAGAGAAAGCGUUGGGAAUUAUUGGGAAGAGAUGAAGCCAGUACACAUGGAUCUGGGAAUGUCUCACCCUUACCUUUAUAUAUCCCAUUCCAGCCACCAUAUUGAUUGUUUCCAAACUGAGCCUCUAAGGAUCCCCCAUGAUCCGACGUAAAAUAAACGAGGGUACUGUUGGUCAAACCUUCCGUGUCCAAGGUAUCAAGGAUCUUCCCUGCAAAGAAUAGAUGCGUGUGUGCCAGUCAAAAUAGAAGAAACUCUUACACCGGAUUUUUGGAACGCUUCCUUUAAAUGAGUCUUCAGUGUUAAAGCUUAAUGGGAGUCAGCAGUAAUAUAAUUGUGCUAUUCUCAGCAUCCUUGAUCUAAGAUUGACAUAUGUCUUUGUAUGUGCCCCAUCCUGUUUCCAGAAAGUUUCAGGAAAGCUACAAGUGUACCUGCUGCAUAGGACAACGUCGUGAACCCUUACAAAUGAGGCAAAAGAAGAUUACAGAGAAAAAUAGGGAACAGGAUGGGAAGGACGGUGACAAAGGCAUUUGUACGUGGAUGAAGAAUAGUUUUCAGUGGCAGUUCUAAGUUUCUUAGAGUCACAUAAAAACUAUCUGUACCCCCAUGUUCAUAGCAGCAGUAUUUACAAUAGCCGAUAAGCAACCCGAGUGUCCAUCGAUGGAUGAAUGAAUAAAGACAAUGUGUUGUAUACAUUCAACGGACUAUUAUGCAGCCUUGAGAAAGGAGGAAAUCCUGCCACUUGCAGCGACAUGCAUGGACCCUGAGGGCAUUAUGCUCGGUGCAGUAUGUCAGACAGAGAAAGACAAAUACCGUGUGAUCUCACUUACAUGUGGGAUCCAAAAAGCCACACCUACAGAAAGAGAAAACAGAUUGGUGGCUACUGCAGGUGAGGGUGAGGGGUGGGAAAAAAUGGGGGAAGGUGGUUGGUUAAAAGUUACAGAUUUAAAAAAACGAGUGUAUUUCUUUGGUGUUUGGGUGUUGCUUUUUUAUACAGUCUGACCAGGUCUGCAUUUUUUUUUUUUUUGCGGUACGCGGGCCUCUCGCUGUUGUGGCCUCUCCCGUUGCGGAGCACAGGCUCCGGACGCGCAGGCUCAGCGGCCAUGGCUCACGGGCCCAGCCGCUCCGCGGCACGUGGGAUCCUCCGAGACCGGGGCACGAACCCGCGUCCCCUGCAUCGGCAGGCGGACGCUCAACCACUGCGCCACCAGGGAAGCCCUGGUCUUCUCAUUCUUUACAUCCUUCCCUCCUGCAGUUUCUGGACGAGGAACCAUCACUUUCUCAUCUGGAAAAGGUACCUACCCACCAUCCAAUCCAUCUCUUCUGUGUUGUCCCCGUACAGCCCAUGGGGACUCCUCCCUCGGAAGUUCUCGGUAGUGAUGAGAGGGGUGUGGACAUGUAGAAAGGACACGAAGAGGAGGAAAGGUCCUUGCUUGUUUCUGAAAGUAGAUACGAUGUGAUGGGAGUUAUUUUUUGGUCAACCUGAGACUGAGCUCCCACAGAUGCUAAAUACAAAUUUCCAUUGUCACGUCCUUACUCAGACACAUGACUGUGCUGCUCUACCCACCAGCAGCAACUGCGUAGAUCUGUUCCACGGCGCGAUGUUCCUGUGUCUGAGAAUCUUCAGUGUGAUGACUUUCUUCCUUCUAAAGUCUUUGGAAAAGUCCACACGAAUUUUUUUAUUUUUUGGCCGUGCCACGGCAUGUGGGAUCUCAGCUUCCCGACCAGGUAUCGAACCCGUGCCCCCUGCAGUGGAAGCGCAGAGUCCUAACCACUGGACCGCCAGGGAAGUCCCUCCACACUGAUUUUAUACGUCUUUUUCUUCCUGAUUAUCGUUUUCUAACUCUAUGGACUUCGGAUGACUGAAAGUAAAAUAGAAUACCAGGAUGCCAUCUGGUCUGACUUUCAUUUUAUUGUUAUUUCGGUAUAUUUUUCGAUUUCCAACUUAGCUGAAAGAAUAAGUGAUUUGCACAUUCAGUUUUCUUUACAACUGCUCUUAUGCAAUGAAGUUUAGGGUGUGGAAUAGUCAUGAAAAAACCCACUUUCAAAAUGAUGUAUAUGGGGUUAUUAAUCUCAAGUUGAUUCUCCCCAAUCUAGACAAUUCCUCACCUUCCCCUGUCUUCACCUGAUCUUUAUGGUCUAAUCUACACCCUUAAAGGACAGAAGCAAAGGUGAAGCUCUUAGACUUAAUAAGGACACAUCAGGUUAGUUUGUUCUAAUUUGAAAGCCAAGUAUUCGCUUCACACCUGACCCAGAUUUGGCAAUUCCAUCAAAAGCUCUCUAAGAAUAUUCCGGAACAUGAUCACCACCCAGGUAAGUUGGGGUUCCAUGGAGUCACCCACACUACUGGAACCCCUUUGGGGAGCACAAAGUGGCCUCCGUUUGGUGUAGCUUUUCAUUGUGUCCCUCCUGGUCUGGCCUGGUAAGUCUCUUUGUCACUGUCACUCACAUUUACAUCCAGGCUGAAGUUAGCCACAGGACUGCUUGGUCCUGAUGGUAGAGCUUUAAAAAUACUUAGAAUUUAUUGCAAAACCUACAGGUGAUUCAGUUUCAUAUGUUCAUUAAAUACCACCCCUGUGGUAACCAGGGGUGCUCAAAGAAUUGGACUGGCUCUUUUUUUUUUUUUUUUAGCCAUGCCAGGUGGCUUGCAGACCAGGGAUAGAACCCGUGCCCCCUGCGGUGCGAGCUCAGAGUCCUAACCACUGGACCCCCAGGGAAUUCCCUGGUCUGGCUCUAAAAUAAGAAGGAACAGCAGCAAAUUUCAACUGACUGGUCAGUUGUUUCAACGGAUCCAGUUGAGUUUCAGGGAACAUCAUUUAUGCCCCAUUUUACCAAAAAAAUGUCUUUCUGAGCUGGGACCGUUUCACCACGCCAGUACCCAUUCCAGAAGAAGCAGAUUCCAAAUUCAUUUUCAUCCUGAAGCCACCUUUGAUACUCACCUUUUGACAAAGGAUGAGACCUCCUUGAGCAUAAGAGCCGUCGUCCUUUGAAGGGACAUGGGCUGCUCGGUGAUGGCGUGAUUUCGCAUCAGAAAGCAGUCGGCGUGAACAAUCAGGGCACCCAUGAAAUAGGAGGUCGUGAGGCACAGCAGGGCCACAAUGGCUGAGCAGAUGACCAGAGUCCAGGAGCCCGCUACCAGGCGAGUGAGUUUCCCAGCGGUGAGUGUAAAGGCGGCCAACGCCAUGACAUGCGAGCAGACGUUGAGUUUAUGCUCCAAGCCUGCGCGCUUUUCAGACACUUCCCCGGGCUCACAGUCUCCCAUCAUGGAAAACGGCAUUCCGUAGAAAUGGUCAAAGCCAUGGCUGAGCGGGUGGUGGCAGUAAUCAUCGGAGGAUUCACAGUUGAGACCCAGAUGCCAUUUUCCUGAAAAGCAAGAAGUACGCACACGUGACAACGGUCCGACCAUCCCUGGGGGCGUGGGUAUGGUGUGCUUGCCAAGUUCUAGGCUCUCUGCUGGGUGGUGGGAUGAGGUGGGGAUGUAGAGGAGGUGGGGGUAGCGUUUGCUGUUGUUUGUACCACAGCCUGGCCAGGUCACUUCAAGGGAAUGAGGACCUUGUGUAGCAGCAUUUCCUGUGCUGCUGGAACAAAGUCCCAUAACUUGGUGGCUUGAAACAACAGGAAUUUAUGCUCUCACAGUUCUGGAGGGCAAGUCCAAAAUCAAGGCACGUGGGCAGGGCCACGCUCCCUCCAGAGGCUCCAGGGGAGGGUCCUUCCCGCCUCUUCCAGCUUCUGGGGGCUCCAGGCAUCCCCAGGCUCGUGGCCACAUCCCUCCCAUCUCUGCCUCAAUGGUCUCACUAUCUCCUCUUUGUAGUCAGAUAUGUGUCUGUCUCCCUCUUGAAAGGACCCUUGUCCUUGUACAUAAGGAAACCUGGAUAAUCCAGGAUCAUCUCCUCAUGUCAAGAUCCUUCACUGAAUCACAUCUGCAAAGACAUUUUUUCCCUAGGUAAGGUUAUAUUUGCAGGUUCCAGCAGUUAGGACCUGCUAUCUUUGGUGACCCUUAUUCAGUCGACUCCACCUGACUUUGCGACUGUCUACAGGAGAGCAAUAAUCAAGGCACACAGUGGUCACACGGCUCUAGAAAACUCCAUCUGAUGUGACCAGCAUGAGCAAACGAUUUCCUGACUUUAGAAUUCUCCGUCCCUUUUGCUAAUUCAUUAUAAUCACAGUCAGGGUGGUGGUGGGUGACAGGUUUUGCAGACCCCACCUGUCGUGUUCAGUCAGUGGAAGGUGAUUAGCUCCCCUGCUGUCACUGCUGGAGUGUUGAUACGCUCUAUGUACCUUCUCAGCAGCCCAAUGGUGUCCGUCACCCAGAAGACCUCAUGUGAUUUCCCGAGCGAUAUAUCCACGAAUCUAUUGGAUUCUAUAUUCAAAGAGCUAAAGAGUUAGCUUUGCUCUUUCUGAUCGACAAAGGAGACUGUUAGCAAAACUUAUUACUAUAACAUGAUAAUGAUCAUGACUUCUUGGGCCCCUUUCAAGAAACUGCCAUCCCUAAUUUUCAUUCAUUCUACACAUGACGUACGUGGUUUGUUGACGUAUAGAAAGAUAAGCCUGCUCUUUAUGGAAGCAGACAGGAAGGUUCUAAGCUGUGUGGUCACAUUUCUAGACAGGAAAUGGGGAAAAACAGCAUGAUGAAAAUUUUUGGUAAUUUGGUAAAAUUAGAAAAGAAAUGAGAAAUCCCACUGUGUCCCAACUAUUUCAUUUCCAAACUUCUUACUUGACUAUAACCUCCCUAUAAAAGUAAUGUGCUCCAGGGAGAUCAGCUCAGUGCUUUGUGGUCACCUA